rnacentral:rRNA from 1 species
UGGGGAAUUUUGGACAAUGGGGGAAACCCUGAUCCAGCCAUCCCGCGUGUGCGAUGAAGGCCUUCGGGUUGUAAAGCACUUUUGGCAGGAAAGAAACGUCAUGGGUUAAUACCCCGUGAAACUGACGGUACCUGCAGAAUAAGCACCGGCUAACUACGUGCCAGCAGCCGCGGUAAUACGUAGGGUGCAAGCGUUAAUCGGAAUUACUGGGCGUAAAGCGUGCGCAGGCGGUUCGGAAAGAAAGAUGUGAAAUCCCAGAGCUCAACUUUGGAACUGCAUUUUUAACUACCGGGCUAGAGUGUGUCAGAGGGAGGUGGAAUUCCGCGUGUAGCAGUGAAAUGCGUAAAUAUGCGGAGGAACACCGAUGGCGAAGGCAGCCGCCUGGGAUAACACUGACGCUCAUGCACGAAAGCGUGGGGAGCAAACAGG